UGCAGAAUCCCGUGAACCAUCGAGUCUUUGAACGCAAGUUGCGCCUGAAGCCAUUAGGCUAAAGGCACGUCUGCUUGGGCGUCACGC
rnacentral:rRNA from 1 species